GGCCUCGUAGUUUGGCUGGUAGAGCGUGCGCUAUAUACAAGCGUAGGCAGUGUCCAUGCGUGGGUUCGAUUCCCACCGAGGCUG
rnacentral:tRNA from 1 species